AGGACCAAACAACCAUGAAGUUCUUCAUCUUUACCUGCCUUUUGGCAGUUGCUCUGGCACAGCAUGAAUCUGCCGGUAUCUACCAAGAAGAAACUGCAAAUAAAAUAGAUACGAUG